AUAAUGCCCCUUGCUGACUGGGCUGCCACAUGGCGCAAAACGCCCCAUGGAGGGGGCAUUAUAAUGUUUAACCAUUACGCAUGGUCUAAGUUCCCAAUUCUCAAACAACUUAUUAACACUUUCAUCUUCUCCAUCACCAUCCGAACAAAUCUUCAAGUUACCAUUGCAACACAAGAUGGCAAUGCCAAUGGCAAAUACGGUCAAUAUCCCUCUAGUGCAGGGUGGAGAAUGGGUACCCCUUGGAGAGGGUUACGAGUACGUUGUGAAUAUCUACGAUGCCCAAGCAAUUGAAGUUAACUUUGCACUCGAGUAUGUAGACUUUCUACAUGAUGUGCUUGAUGCUCUGGAUCUGCAGGAAGGCCAAGUCCGCCUAACUUACCCUAGACAAACCGGAAGGAACACAACGUUUCCGGUUACUAUUGAUGGCCCGGAAGCUUUUGAAAACUUCAGAAUAUUUGUGCAGCAUUCAUCUGCACGAUCUCAUAUCUCGAUAUUUGUUCAGCAGAUAUGAGGUUUGUAUUGAAACGGGUUGACUCUAACCCACGCGUUGCGGCGGGAUGUUGAUUAUUAAUAUCUUAGCGAAAAUUGUUAAUGUUUAUUUUUAAUAUAUGCAAUUUACUUAAUUUGAUGAAUAUGUAAACAUGCCAUGACAAUGCAUUUAGAGUGAAUGACCGCUAAAAAA